CGGAAUCACUGAUGUCUUGUGGAGUGCGUGGUGCACUCCUGAACAAUGGCCGCUAUGUCCUACCUGUCACUGUCGCUUGUCUUCACAGGGAAGAUGUCGUAAUCAACAGAACUGUUAUGUGAAAUUAGAUAAUGCACUCUUAGAUUACUGAUGAAUUCAGAUCAUUACGACCCUUGAUGUCUGUGUGCUUUGGUGUGGAAGAACUUACGGCAUAUCAUGUAUACCUGACUGUUGUCAGAUUUUUAGGAGGGGGGGGGGGGAGUGUCAACAUUAAAGCUAUUGCAGUAUUACCAUUUAAAUGUUGUUAUUGUAAACAGCUAGACUACAUGACAAUAUACAUGAAGGAAAACAUUAAAAAGAUAAUGGCUGAAUGCAACAUUUUUAAAUGAUGGACAUUUGAUAGGUACUUUAGCUUCUAUUAUGUCACUAUAAAUAGUCAUGUCUUUGAACAAAAUAUUAAAAAAUGACACGGUUUUUGCUUUUCUGGAUCGAGUGAAUUGUUAUUCAUGAUAUGAAUCGCGGUCUUUUGUGUGUUUUGCUGGUAGAGGCCUGGAUCUUGGCCAACCAAUUACAUCUUUAACCAAGAUGAAAAAGGGUAAAAUAAAGUUCAGCGAGCAGGCCUCAUUGUUAAUUCCAAUCACUGCAGACGGAAAAAUGAUUUAUUCUUCUUAAGUCUUGUACCAGUUACUUGGAUUUCAAUGAUCAAAAAUGUUGGUUAAUUAGUUUACGUAUUUGGAUUUAGGCAUGUCAGACGCAUGUACUUUUGAAUAUACUUUUGGUAGAUAAAAUGUAAAAAAAAA
rnacentral:sRNA from 1 species